rnacentral:misc_RNA from 1 species
UCCGGCUUAACGCCGGCAGUCUCGCUAGAGUCCUCGGCAUGACCCGUUAGCAACUAGCGACAGGGGUUUCGCUCGUUAAGGGACUUAACCCGACACUUCACAGCACGAGCUGACGACAGCCGUGCAACACCUGUUCACGUUUCACCCCGAAGGGCAGCUCGCGGCAUUACCCGUCCGCAUCCGUGAAUGUCAAACCCAGGUAAGGUUCUUCGCGUUGCUUCGAAUUAAGCCACAUGCUCCACCGCUUGUGUGAGCCCCCGUCAAUUCCUUUGAGUUUUAGCCUUGCGGCCGUACUCCCCAGGCGGCAUACUUAGCACUUUUGCUGCGGCGCCGAAAUCGUCAGAGAUCCCGGCACCUAGUAUGCAUCGUUUACGGCGUGGACUAC